ACGUCUUCUUCAAGCGUUAUCCGGAGUUACUGGGAGUAAAGGGCGUGCAGGCGGUUGGCUAAGUUCGUUGUGAAAGAGCCCAGGCUUAACAGGGCGAGGACAAUGAAGACUGGUCAGCUAGAGGACGGUAGAGGGGUGUGGAAUUCCGCGUGUAGCAGUGAAAUGCGUAGAUAUGCGGAGGAACACCGAUGGCGAAGGCAAUCCCCUGGGCCUGCACUGACGCUCAUGCACGAAAGCGUGGGGAGCAAACAG
rnacentral:rRNA from 1 species